UUCAUAUUCCCUCCAUCCGGAAAAGCUUGUCCCAAGCUUGUCCCUCAAAUGAAUGUAUCUAACACUAAUUGGGUGCUAGAUACAUCCAUUUGAGCGACAGGCUUUUCCGGACGGAGGGAGUACAAU
rfam:Triticum aestivum genome assembly, contig: Triticum_aestivum_CS42_TGACv1_scaffold_274005_3DS